AACCAAAUCACCCUGAAAACACCUGUUCUCGUCUGACCACCGAAGUUAAGCAGUGUCGAGCCUGGUCAGUAUUUAGAUGGGGGACCGUUUGAGAACACCGGUGCUGUAA